rnacentral:rRNA from 1 species
UACGAAGGGGACUAGCGUUGUUCGGAAUCACUGGGCGUAAAGCGCACGUAGGCGGAUUUGUAAGUCAGGGGUGAAAUCCCGGGGCUCAACCUCGGAACUGCCUUUGAUACUGCGAAUCUUGAGUCCGAUAGAGGUGGGUGGAAUUCCUAGUGUAGAGGUGAAAUUCGUAGAUAUCGGGAGGAACACCGGUGGCGAAGGCGGCUCACUGGUCCGGUACUGACGCUGAGGUGCGAAAGCGUGGGGAGCAAACAGG